UACGAAGGGGGCUAGCGUUGUUCGGAAUUACUGGGCGUAAAGCGCACGUAGGCGGACAUUUAAGUCAGGGGUGAAAUCCCAGAGCUCAACUCUGGAACUGCCUUUGAUACUGGGUGUCUUGAGUAUGGAAGAGGUGAGUGGAAUUCCCAGUGUAGCGGUGAAAUGCGUAGAUAUUGGGAGGAACACCAGUGGCGAAGGCGGCUCACUGGACCGGAACUGACGCUGAGGCGCGAAAGCGUGGGGAGCAAACAGG
rnacentral:rRNA from 1 species